GACGAACGCUGGCGGCGUGCCUAAUACAUGCAAGUCGAACGCACUCUCGUUUAGAUUGAAGGAGCUUGCUCCUGAUUGAUAAACAUUUGAGUGAGUGGCGGACGGGUGAGUAACACGUGGGUAACCUGCCCUAAAGUGGGGGAUAACAUUUGGAAACAGAUGCUAAUACCGCAUAAAACCUAACACCGCAUGGUGUAGGGUUGAAAGAUGGUUUCGGCUAUCACUUUAGGAUGGACCCGCGGUGCAUUAGUUAGUUGGUGAGGUAAAGGCUCACCAAGACCGUGAUGCAUAGCCGACCUGAGAGGGUAAUCGGCCACACUGGGACUGAGACACGGCCCAGACUCCUACGGGAGGCAGCAGUAGGGAAUCUUCCACAAUGGACGAAAGUCUGAUGGAGCAACGCCGCGUGAGUGAAGAAGGUUUCGGAUCGUAAAACUCUAGUUGUUGGAGAAGAAUGUAUCUGAUAGUAACUGAUCAGGUAGUGACGGUAUCCAACCGGAAGCCA
rnacentral:rRNA from 1 species